rnacentral:lncRNA from 10 species
UGAGUAAUGAUGACACUAGCAGUCCAGCCUGCAUGGAUGCUGACAUGGAUGCUGUCUCCCAUUCUUACCACUGGAUGGGAAGAAAUGCUAGAUGCAAUCCAGCCAGUCUGUACUCGACUGUCAGUUCCAUCUUCUCAACUCACAGUGUCUUCCAAAGUCCGUGCCACACCACAGCCUGGAACAUCUCCCAAGGUUUCAAAUAAUUCAUCAGUGAAUUCUUCUCAACCUGGUCAAUCAUGUGAACUUAGAAGAUGAUUCCUCCCCAGCUGAUCCUCAGGGAACACUAAGACCCAUUCUUCUUCUCAAGUAUCCAAAAAUAAAGUUGAUCCAAGUAAGAAGUGGACAGCAUAAAAGAUUGUAUGGAAGCUAUAAUGCAUCUACAUCUGCAGUAACUAAUCAUAAAAUGAUUUGUAUGAUCAUUCUUCACAUGAUUAGAAUUACUAUGGGAAAGAAGAAAAAGAAAUGCCUCUCUGGAUGGUGACUAUAACCUAUAGCCUUGCCCAAUAUGACUCAGGAUUUGGUACUGGCUGUGCCUUUCAUGGGAUGCUUACUUAUCCUGGUCGAUGGCCUAAAGCCCAACCGUCCAGCUUAUAUCCAGGGAUAAACUCAGCCUGCGGGGCCUCAGGAAGAAGGUCGUAGCCAUUUCAUUGAGUCCAGGGCAGAAAAGUGGAAGAAAAAUGUGAAUGUGUUAAUUUGAGGACUUUAGCUCUGAGAGGUUUCAGGAUUCAGUCCAAAAUGCAGAAAACAAUAAAAAGCUCAAAAACAAUGGACAAGACUAGAAUCUAACAACAGGUG